CCCUUAGAUGUUCUGGGCCGCACGCGCGCUACACUGAUGCAUUCAACAAGCCUAGCCUUGACCGAGAGGUCCGGGUAAUCUUUGAAACUGCAUCGUGAUGGGGCUAGAUUAUUGCAAUUAUUAAUCUUCAACGAGGAAUGCCUAGUAAGCGUGAUUCAUCAAAUCGCGUUGAUUACGUCCCUGCCCUUUGUACACACCGCCCGUCGCUCCUACCGAUUGAAUGUGUUGGUGAGGAGCUCGGAUUGGCAGCAGUUGGUGGUUCGCCACCGACUAUUGCUGAGAAGUCCUCCAAACCGCCCCAUUUAGAGGAAGGAGAAGUCGUAACA
rnacentral:rRNA from 1 species